ACAUCCCGUGGAUAAAAAACAAUCCGGUAAGAGAGCCAAAAUGGGGCGUGCUCUUUUUUCUAAUUUUCUCAUCGUCUCAAACUCAUCUCCACGCCUCACCUCUUCACUGUCGUUCGGUGGCCUUGGUGGUAAAAACUGGAAAAUACCGCCGCCAAUUCGUCAGCAUCGUUCACUUGUCAGAUACAACGGCAGUGGUUUUCGUUGUAACUGCAGUGUCUCGCUCUCGCAACCUGCUGCUCCCGAGGCGUCCUCAAGCUCUGUUAGGAAGAGGAUAGUGUCUGGAGUUCAGCCAACAGGAUCCAUACACCUUGGGAAUUAUCUUGGUGCCAUAAAAAAUUGGAUAGCACUUCAGAAUACUUAUGAGACUCUCUUUUUUAUCGUGGAUCUUCAUGCGAUUACACUACCAUAUGAUACACAACAAUUAUCUAAGGCAACAAGGGAUACAGCAGCUAUCUAUUUGGCAUGCGGAGUUGACACCUCCAAGAUGCAGGCUUCUGUUUUCGUGCAGUCUCACGUUCGUGCCCAUGUAGAAUUGAUGUGGCUACUAAGUUCUGCCACACCAAUUGGUUGGCUGAAUAGAAUGAUUCAGUUUAAGGAAAAAUCUCGUAAAGCGGGAGAUGAAAAUGUUGGGGUUGCUCUUUUGACUUAUCCUGUUUUGAUGGCUUCUGAUAUUCUUCUAUACCAGUCUGACUUUGUCCCUGUUGGUGAGGAUCAGAAGCAGCAUUUGGAGUUGACUCGUGAACUGGCUGAACGUGUUAAUUAUUUAUAUGGAGGAAGGAAGUGGAAAAAGUUGGGAGGGCGAGGUGGUGCUAUUUUUAAGGUUCCUGAACCCUUAAUACCACCAGCUGGAGCCCGAGUUAUGUCCCUCACUGAUGGUCUUUCCAAGAUGUCCAAGUCUGCACCUUCAGAUCAGUCUCGUAUCAAUAUUCUUGACCCCAAAGAUGUAAUAGCGAAUAAGAUUAAACGUUGCAAAACUGACUCGUAUCCAGGCCUGGAGUUUGACAAUCCUGAAAGACCUGAAUGCAACAAUCUUCUUUCAAUAUAUCAGCUCAUGUCAGGGAAGACAAAAGAGGAAGUUGCAGAGGAAUGCCAUAAUAUGAACUGGGGCACAUUUAAAUCUGUCCUAACAGAUGCAUUGAUCGAACAUCUGCAUCCCAUACAGGUUCGCCAUGCAGAGAUCAUUUCUGAUUCAACUUAUUUGGAUAAAGUCCUAGCAGAAGGUGCUUCAAAAGCUGGAGAUAUAGCGGAUGCUACUCUCAAUAAUGUCUACCAGGCAAUGGGAUUCUUGCGGACAUGAUUGAAUUGAUGUUUUAGGAGGUAUUUCUGGUGAAAUAUCUAAACUACAACAACCUCAAAGUCAACUUUUGGAUGAUCCAUUAUCGCCCACAAGGUUAACCUUUGGAUGAUCAAUCAUUGCCCACAAAUUUUUUGGACAAGACCCUUAUCAUAUUCUUGAUGAGUGAAAAAAAGAAUUUAUUUUGAGGCCCACAAAUUCUUUGUUGCAGUUGCCUCAACCUCUCCUUUCCGGGCAGAGAUAUCAUCUGGGGAAAAAUUGUAGGCGUUUGUUCCAUGUUAAGAUUGGACGUGCCAAAGGCCGAAAGAACUCUAGAUGUUCACAGGCUCUCGAGCUUAUGUCCGUAUGCCACGUUCCCACAGAGGAUUAGGUUGCUUUUCCUCUUUCCUGGUUCUGCUAUGAACGAUUUAAAGUUUUAAACAAUCAAACUAACGACACAAGAUCUUAUCUUAUUGGUAAGGAUAACAAAUACGGGCCCGCCUUUUCACUUCUUUGCGGCUUCGCCUCAAGAUAUUUCAACUUAAGAAUGUAAAUAUGUAAUAAUAUCCUGUUAUCUCAGUUUGUACGCGGGUCAUUGUAAAU